rnacentral:rRNA from 1 species
GAUGCGAGCGUUAUCCGGAUUUAUUGGGUUUAAAGGGUGCGUAGGCGGGCUUUUAAGUCAGCGGGAAAAAUUCGGGGCUCAACCUCUUCGAGCCGUUGAAACUGGUUUUCUUGAGUGAGCGAGAAGUAUGCGGAAUGCGUGGUGUAGCGGUGAAAUGCAUAGAUAUCACGCAGAACUCCGAUUGCGAAGGCAGCAUACCGGCGCUCAACUGACGCUCAUGCACGAAAGUGUGGGUAUCG